UCAUGAAUGAUCACAUCUAAUACUUUUCCUUUUUUAAAGGGGUAGCUGCAAAGUUUUGGACAAGACCUCUGCAGGCAACUGGAAGCACAGUGUACCCAGGUGGAGCCCAACCUCAUCAGCAUCUUUCCUUCAGGCAAACUGACAAUACAGGAUCUAGUCAAUGACUCAAGUGGAUUCAACUAUCUAAGAGGUGUGACAGCAACUUUGAGGAUGUGCAGAUAUCCAGUUUAUUACACAUUCAAUAAAAUAUUUUUCCCACCCUGCUUCAUCUCCAUCAGAUUCUUCUGGCACCAAUGGCUCUUUCUUAAAACACUUCUGUGGGUUUGUAC
rnacentral:lncRNA from 1 species